GAUGAACGCUGGCGGCGUGCCUAAUACAUGCAAGUCGAGCGAACAGACGAGGAGCUUGCUCCUCUGACGUUAGCGGCGGGCGGGUGAGUAACACGUGGAUAACCUACCUAUAAGACUGGGAUAACUUCGGGAAACCGGAGCUAAUACCGGAUAAUAUAUUGAACCGCAUGGUUCAAUAGUGAAAGACGGUUUUGCUGCCACUUAUAGAUGGAUCCGCGCCGCAUUAGCUAGUUGGUAAGGUAACGGCUUACCAAGGCAACGAUGCGUAGCCGACCUGAGAGGGUGAUCGGCCACACUGGAACUGAGACACGGUCCAGACUCCUACGGGAGGCAGCAGUAGGGAAUCUUCCGCAAUGGGCGAAAGCCUGACGGAGCAACGCCGCGUGAGUGAUGAAGGUCUUCGGAUCGUAAAACUCUGUUAUUAGGGAAGAACAAAUGUGUAAGUAACUAUGCACGUCUUGACGGUACCUAAUCAGAAAGCCACGGCUAACUACGUG
rnacentral:rRNA from 1 species